rnacentral:rRNA from 1 species
GACGAACGCUGGCGGCGUGCCUAAUACACGCAAGUCGAGCGCAGGAAACUGACGGAACUCUUCGGAGGGAAGGCAGUGGAAUGAGCGGCGGACGGGUGAGUAACACGUAAGGAAUCUGCCUCAAGGAUUGGGAUAACUCCGAGAAAUCGGAGCUAAUACCGGAUAGUUCAUCGGACCGCAUGGUCCGUUGAUGAAAGGCGCUCCGGCGUCACCUUGAGAUGGCCUUGCGGUGCAUUAGCUAGUUGGUGGGGUAACGGCCCACCAAGGCGACGAUGCAUAGCCGACCUGGGAGGGUGAUCGGCCACACUGGGACUGAGACACGGCCCAGACUCCUACGGGAGGCAGCAGUAGGGAAUCUUCCACAAUGGACGAGAGUCUGAUGGAGCAACGCCGCGUGAGUGAUGAAGGUUUUCGGAUCGUAAAACUCUGUUGUAAGGGAAGAACACGUACGAGAGGGAAUGCUCGUACCUUGACGGUACCUUACGAGAAAGCCACGGCUAACUACGUGCCAGCAGCCGCAGUAACAC